UGUGAUUCCGUUUGAUACUAACACGCGAGUUGAAGGGAAGCUUGGGCUGUUCUUAUUCAACAUUCCUUUGAAGGCAACAGUAUCAUGUCAAGUGUACGUGAAUAUGAAAAAUCAGACAAUUGUUCGUCAAGAUUGCUAUCCUGAGUCACUGGGUGAUACACUCGAUCAUAGCAUAGCUGGAGACGCAUGAUGUGCUAGUUAGUGCUGGCGCUGAGAAGAUCCUGGCACUGAAAUGUAGAAUGUUGGAAGACAUGGAAGGUCCUAGCACACUAGAUGCUGAAUUGUAUUAUGAAUUUCAAUAUGUUGGUGGAAUAUCAUCGUCAUGUGGUUAAUGAAAAGGCUUCGGCUAAGAUUGGUUUUAGCAUGUGUUGUGAUUGGUAGGUAGUGGCAAACAUGGCCAGAAUGAAAAGGAAUAUAAACAGGGUUCGAUGUUCCUCUUCUUUUAUCUUAUUGUAAAUACUUGGUGCUGCUGAUUAUGUUAUGUCAUAUACGUAUGGAGAAACGGAAGCAUGCAGUGCCCUUCAAUCAUAUCAUUCAUUUACAACAAAUAUAA